AUGCCGUUUACAAAAAAAAGGAAGUUAAAAGGUAAAACAACGAUGCCGGACGAUUUUGAACUUAGAAGAGAAGAUGAGAUGGAGUUUUUCGCCCUGCCCUACCUUUUUGAACCGGAAUACACAGAGGAAGAAAUUAGGCAGAUGGACGAGAAUGCUGCGGCGACACACACCUCUCAAGCAUGGGGCAGACGAAGAUCUAACGAGACGUGGUGGUGCACAUGUGGCAAAUGCCAACCAUUGCCAACAGAGGAAGAAUCUCAAUGCUGCCACGACUGGACCAUUUCAAUCCCGCCAUUAGAAUCAAUCAUUGAGUCAGCUGGUGAGACCCUGUUUACAUCUCGCUGCAUUACCCAACAAAAUGGAUUUCCACCGUUACUGAGCAACAGCGUGUUAGAGGUGUUUUUUAGUUUGCCCAAAAAUAACUGGAGACGCCGUCUGAGGCCCCAAGGACCUGGUGGCACCCUAACAGUUGAUCAAUAUAGGCUGGUGGCAUACCGGAUAGUUCUGGAAUGGAUGCUGAAAGGGGAGAGAUUGGGAAGACGCAACAGGAGGGUUCUUCCAUCCUGUGUUGUCAGUGCCAUCAGACUGUCAUACCCUUUUCCAUCAGGACAGUAUGUAGGCUUCAGAGAAGCCGAAGAGGCUUUUGGUCUUUUGUAGGAAUAAUAAUUUGAAAUACAAUUUGAAUUACAAGGUUACAUUUUUUAUAUACAUUAUAAUUUGUUGUGGCUUGUUUGUUACUGUAAUAGCUGUAUUUUUAUUUAUUUUUUGCAUAGUCAAUGUUAUUUGUUGUUGUAUAUACAUCAACACUACAUACUUAUUGAUGUCUCACACAAAUGUUUAUUUUGGAAGAAUAAAACAAAUUUGAGAAAUACAUUCGUUGAUGUUUAAUUCCAACUGAUGUGGGGUACCAUCAGUAAGGACCAUAUAUUUCACACUAACACCAUAAAUAUUUUGUUUGUUUCACCAACAGUGUUUUCUGUUUUUGCCCCAAUAAAAAAAAAAAUGUAUAUAACAGACUUCAACAUUUUUAAAGCAAAUUAGUGUCCAAAUCUUGAUAAAUGCUUUGCAAUUACUUCUUGCUUGUCAGGCCUUGGUGUUAGGGCUAUGUUCUGUGGCAAUGGGUGAUGAUGAGUCAAACGACAAGAACUUUCCUUGUAAACAACGCUGGUGUCCAGCCGCCGCUGUACAACUUUCUCAACCAGAGACUCUCUGAAUUUUUGAGUGGUUUGUGUAAAAAUCGUUUUGGCUACCCAUUCUUUGGUAUGUUUGGGGAAAACCACUUUGUACCGAGAUGCACCUAUAAUAAAAGAAAAUUGAUGAAACAUAAUAAAUUACACGAUUUGUAUUGAUUACAUUACUAUAAUAGAAUGUUCACAUUUGAUUCUCAACUUGAUUAACUUAGAUCUAUUGUCAUCACACACCAUAUUGAAAAAUCUUUAGUAGUUACACACAAUAUGUUGUUUUCAACUUACCAGUAGUGGUUGUUGCUUGCUGACGACCUACAUUUUCAUUAUGGUCAAGGAUAGCGAGUUGUGUUCGUGCAACCAUGGACACAUAAUGAAAAUGCAGGUUCUUUGGGCAGUAUUUCAGUAGGACAGAAUGAAACACCUCCAGUUGUCCUAAAGAUAAAAGAAAAAAAUGUAUACGGUGUACCUACAUGUACAUGUGUAUGUACAUUACCAUGUGUAUAGAAAUAACUUACCAGUGUGUUUGAAAAGAGCCAUUUGCCUCAAAUCCUUUUCAAGUCCUUUGUCCAGGACAAGACUCUGCAGUGUGUGGAAGGCAUGUGAGUCUUUUCCAAGCCAUUUUUUUCUGCGUUGCUGUUCUGGACUGAGAUCAUUGUGUACACAUUUUUUCUGCUUUCCUUCUUUAAACCAACUGUGCACACCUGUAAUGUGAUAAAGUAUGGACUUCCAAUUUUCGAUCAGUUCCUGUAUAAAUACAUGAAUACUCAAAGUAAUUAUUAUACAAAUGUAUAAAUUAUAAACAUAGAAAAAUAGAUGUUUAUGGUCCAGCAACCCCAAUAUUUAAAAACUUACAAAAAAAAACAAAAAAACAAAGCUUUCUUUAAAGAACAAAGUAAAAUUUGUGCGUGUGUAUAAAGAAAUUAAACUUAAUAUUAAAACAUUACAGAACUUACGUUAGGGUCGCCUCCACAAGUUGCAGAGCAAUACCAUAAAUGGUUGCAAAUACUUCGUGUCCAUGGCUGAAGCUCUCGAUGUCCAUGUAUCUUGACAUGGAGCACAACUUUUUGGAAAGUCCUUAAAAAAUAUAAUUUUAAUUAUAAAAUAAUUAAAAAGGAUUGACAAUAUAGUGCAUAACAAGGUUAAUCUAGUACUUCACGGUUUAUUGUAGCAAUUUUUUAAAUGCAUGUAAACAACACAUUGUAUAUUCCUACAUAGGAAUAAAUAAGUUUUAGACUAUGUUGCCUUUUGGAUAAUUCAUAAUUAAUAUCUCUUUCUCAGUCUCUUGUGAGACAGUUACCUUUGACUACAUGCCAAAUAUCAAAUUUGUGGUGAAUGUUGGGAUAUUCUACACGCAUAAUCUUUCUAAUAGAUGGCGAUCUGUCUGUGGUCAGCACGUCGAUUUUGAUUCCUUGUUCUUGUAUUGUGUUCACAGCCCUCUUGAAUCCUACUGGCUCCAUGGCCACAGUACUGGAUGCUUCUGUAACCUGAAAUGCAAUAUCAUGAUAGAUAAACAAGGAGUGUGUGUAUUUUCAUUGAU
rnacentral:lncRNA from 1 species